UUCGCCCUUAGAGUUUGAUCCUGGCUCAGAGCGAACGCUGGCGGCAGGCUUAACACAUGCAAGUCGAGCGGGCCCUUCGGGGUCAGCGGCAGACGGGUGAGUAACGCGUGGGAACGUGCCCUUCGGUUCGGAAUAACUCAGGGAAACUUGAGCUAAUACCGGAUACGCCCUUAUGGGGAAAGGCUUGACUGCCGAAGGAUCGGCCCGCGUCUGAUUAGCUGGUUGGUGAGGUUAUGGCUCACCAAGGCGACGAUCAGUAGCUGGUCUGAGAGGAUGAUCAGCCGCACUGGGACUGAGACACGGCCCAGACUCCUACGGGAGGCAGCAGAAGGG
rnacentral:rRNA from 1 species